GCCGGGCGCGGGGCGCGGUGCACCACCGGCUCGCCGCCCAGCCCGGCAUGGAGGAGCGCGGCGGUGCCGAGCCCACGCCGGGCUGCAGCGGCUUGGGCCCAGGCGGCGUUCGCGGCGGCGGCGCCCACUCAUGGGCCCCGGAGGACGCCUGGAUGGGCACCCACCCUAAGUAUUUAGAAAUGAUGGAAUUAGAUAUAGGAGAUGCCAGCCAAGUUUACAUAGCAUUCUUGGUUUACCUGGACCUCAUGGAGAGUAAAAGUUGGCAUGAAGUAAAUUGUGUGGGCUUACCAGAUCUACAGCUCAUCUGCCUUGUCGGUACUGAGAUAGAAGGAGAAGGAUUACAGACUGUGGUGCCUACACCCAUCAGUGCUUCCCUCAGCCAUAACAGGCAGCAGAGCCACCAUGAUGAACAAGAAGUUCUUCAUCUGGAGGACUGCGGCUCAGCUGGAGGGAGGCGUAUAUAAACAGCUAGUAGGGUAAACACAGAAGACAGCAGAAGCCCAGAGAGGUAAACUGACUUACCUAAGGCCACACAGCUACUUAAUAACACAUUUGAGAACAGACUCAGUCUCCUGACUUCCAACUCCACUACUUACUGGGUUCCUGGCCUAGAAUCAGAUGGCACCAAGAAAAAUCCUGGAGAAAAUGACGCACCUCGUGCACGUCCCCUUCGAGAGGGCAAUUAUGGCUGGAGAAGAAUGGGCAGAGGAAUGUAUCAGUCAUCUAUCUCACAAGAAUGCUCUUGACCUAAAACAGCUCUUCUUUUCUCAAGAAAGCAGCCACACUGAGUCUGGCUCCCACAAGUCUGUCUUGCAAAUUCUCAUGCACAACAAUUGAUGUAUAUUCCUAUCAGGUGCUUCAGAGAAGCUCUGACCUUUUUCUCGACAGGCAAAAAUGUGCAUUUUGGCACCAGAUUAUCGGAUGGAAAAAUACAGGCAUUUUCCAAGCCCUAAACACAGAGUGUGCCAUCUAUUAGUUUGGAUUUCUUCCUUAACUAUCAUCAUACUAAUAUGUGGUGGUUUGUCCAAGAAGAAAUGAAUCCAAAUCUAUUUUGGACUCAGAAUCCCGGAAGCCUGGGUUUUAUCACUGGCUGGUCACAGAUGCACUGAAAAUGGAUUCUGAUUUUGGGGAAUCCAAACUGGGAUGGGCAUAUUUUGCUACCUCAAAUGGCCUGGACCUAUAUUUGCUCUUAAGGAGAGCAAGAAUUUGGAGUACAGAAUUUCUGGCAGCUGCUGCUGCCACCUAGAAAUUGUUAUUGAUCAACAUGAAGCAAUAUGGCAAGGCUGAAACUGGCUUGUUUUCUCUGAAGACUUAAAGAAAUUUGGAGGCAUCAAUCUUCACAUUCCUCGUGGUGGAAGGCUUAAAGAGCAAGCCACAUCUGAGCUGGCCUUGAAAACUCUGCCUGGCUGAAGUUCCCAUUGUCACCUUUUUCAGGAAUUGCCUCCUUUCUUUAAGACGGUCUGACUAGGUUUGUAACUCAAAUGGCUUCCAUCAAAACAACACCCUGCACCAGGUGCUGGCCAUUCAGUGACCUGUGACUGAGCUGUGCCUUACCUACUGUCUUUCUGGACCUCUGUGCCAGCCUCUGCAGCCAGAUUAGUUCUUUCAGAGCUUGCACUGGGUCCCGGCUUCUCCUCAGCAACAGCAGUCCAGGGAUGACAGGUGCCAUGCUUUCUGCACAAGUCUUCAUCUGCGGAAACAAGAGGGCUUAUCGUCCGUCCUUCCUGACAUUUCUCACUGCCACUCUGCACUAGACUCCAUUCACGUUCACUACCUGGAAAUCCUGGACCAGGGGAUAAGGUAGUUCCCUCUGCCCUGAAAAAUUAGAAGAGAAGUGUACUAUCCUCCCUAUCUUGUGAGUUGCUGACUGUCAAGAAUGGAAAGAAUUUGAAAAAGCAGCUGAGAAAAUCAUCCCUUACCCCAUUUUCAGGUAAAAUCACACCAGUUUUCCUUGGGAGAUGAACUCUCCAUCACUGAAUGAAUACUUGAUGACCUACCCUACUGAAUUAAAGGUGUGGAAAGCAACAUGAGCCAGACCAGUUUUACAGAUGGAAACACUGAAUCUCCAAGAGGCGGUGAAAGCGGCCCACGGUCCCACCUUAGGAGGCUAGAAGGAGGCACACACCUGCCUGCCCCCGGAAUGGACACUCUCCGUCGCACCCAGCCAGACACUGCCUCCACCGACGCGGAACACAUACAGGACCCGCAGUAGUUUCGGUUACAUAUAAAGUGGGUUAUAAAAACGUCAUUUAGUGCCCUGUAAUAUGCAUUCUAUAGCCUUGUGAUGGGGAAUGAAUGUGCAGAGCCAAGGAAGUCGUGUACAUUUUGAAAUGAUCUUCCUGGGAAGAAGCACACCAUUUGUCAAUAUCAAAUCUUACCUCGUUUGAAGUUCCCAGACUCUCUGGAGCUCUAAUAAGAAGUAGCUUGUUAAUCUUUGAAAUACAAAUGCUGAUCAGCAGAGUUUUUUUUUUUUUUUUUUUUUCCCUCUUCUGUCGUUUAGGGCCUCUGUGGGAGGGAAGAUCAUGUUAACAUAUGCAUGCUUACUCUCUUACAGAAAACCAACUCUUUAUUUACCUGAGCUUCUCCUCAUGUCCCUGGACAAGUAAUUAAACCAAAUCAUUGACCUCUU